UACGAAGGGUGCAAGCGUUAAUCGGAAUUACUGGGCGUAAAGCGCGCGUAGGUGGUUCAGUAAGUUGGAAGUGAAAUCCCCGGGCUCAACCUGGGAACUGCUUUCAAAACUGCUGAGCUAGAGUACGGUAGAGGGUGGUGGAAUUUCCUGUGUAGCGGUGAAAUGCGUAGAUAUAGGAAGGAACACCAGUGGCGAAGGCGACCACCUGGACUGAUACUGAC
rnacentral:rRNA from 1 species